AACGGCCGUACCAUGCUGAAUAUACCGGUUCUCGUUAGAUCACCGAAGUUAAGCAUCAUUGGGCGGAGGUCAGUACUUGGGUGGGUGACCACCUGGGAACACUGCGUGCCGUU